GACAGCCCCGAUGAUUAUUUUAACCCGAUUUCACUGGGUGAAAACCCCACUGGGUAACAAGGAGGCCCCAGGCUGUGAUUUUUCUGUUUUCCUAGUCUAUCUCUGACACACGGAGAAGCUGCUCUGAUCAGAAUGCAGGAAGGCAGGAUAGUAAACAGAAAGGAUCCUCCAAGCCUCUGUGCCCAUCGACCCCAAGCAUAAACAGGGGUGUGCACUUUUCUCAAGCACUACCCACAAACUCAGUUGAAUCCGGAAAGGAAAGGUCAGGAAUUGUGUCUCAGGAACCAGUUACAGACCUCAGUGUCUCAGGAGGUGAUGCCCCUGACCAGUGACUUACCAAAUAGCAGCGCAACCAUGCAGCACAGCAUGGUGCCCGUCCUGGUGCCCCACAGGAGGAGGGUCAACUCUGCAAGCCGAGGUGAAGCUGUGGGGAGAGCACCUUCGCUGAUGCUCAGGAGCCUUCGAAACUCCCGCCCUGGUGACAUCUACUGUCACUGUGUUCUAGCAGCCGAGAGUGUGAAUGGUGACUUGACUUGCCCUUCCUCCUCUGCAAGGUGAGAUGCUGCUGCGGCUUUCAGAGAAAGGAACCGGAGAGAGCCCGGAAGGACCCAUGAAAAAAUUUGUGUCAGGUCUGCAGCGACCUCUUGUGGCU